CCGCGCGGUUGUAUUUACGCAUUUUUUUGAAGAGUUUUGGAGACUUUUCAUAACGAGAAACCAAGUCAGUUGGACAUACGUUGUAUCUUCUCUAAAUCUGCUGCUUGAACCUUCUUGAUUUUGGCUUUCGCAAGUGACCAGUUCGUUAAAAAUUUUGCAGCGUUACAAUUAAUUAUAGCUUUUAAAAUCUAGUGAUCACAGAUGGAUUCAUAAUGUAUGCGCGUAGCGUUCGCCGCUACGAUGGUGUUGUGAGUUAAUUCCCUUUGUUACUUUGUAGAAAUUAUUGAUAAGGAUUAUCCAGAUCAUAUUUCUGAAUGUCUUUAACUUCGAGUUCGAAUUAUCGUUUGUGCUUCCCAUAGUGAUGUAUAUUUGCUGAGCUUGAUGCCCGUAUUAUUCGUUUUGCAUCUGCAUUUGUACUGAAGACAUGGCUCUGUCGCUGCCUGGAUCGGAAGAAGGGUCGUCCGUAUUCGACGACACUGUGGCUUUGGUUCCGCAGGACCCCAGUCUGGUUCUUCCCGUUGGUUUCUGUUCCUCCACAGAUUUUUUCAAUUUCUCUUCCAGUUCCUUGGAAGUGGAUACCUUUCUGAACCAGAUGUCUUCCUCAGAAAACCCUAUGACCCGACGUCCGAGGGGCCGUCCGAAGGGGACAACGUGGGCAGCUGGAUACAAAGUCAGCGGUGGACGGCCCAAAAAAGGAUCUGCAAAAGAUAGUCCAUCGGACGCAAAUCACACAGCUGCAGCUGUUAAUGUGACUUCCGAUGUGUUCGGAGUUAGUAGUGGCCAGCACAUUCCACGGCCUCCGAAACCAGUGGGACCUCGUGGACGUCCUAAAGGGUCCACUCGGGCGAACGGUUACAAGGUGUCCAGUGGCCGGCCGGUUGGAACCACACGCGAUAACGGUUAUCGCGUCUCCACGGGUAGACCGUCGGGUACAACGCGCGUCCGUGGUUGCAAAGUGUCACCGGGAAGACCAAAGAAGGAUGCCAGUCGGCAGGUGAAAACGGAGUUUUCGAUGGGACAAUCCGAUGCGGGGAUUUAUCUGCCUAUUCAGGUGACGGACAUUUCCCCCAGUAUGACGGUGGUGCCGGCGUUUGUGCAUUUUUUUGACGGACAUCAUCCGGAGUACCUGUAACAUCGCUCACUUUGAUCUGUAUAUAUUGCUUGUACAGUACAAGUUGUUUUUAUUGAUGAACUGCACCAAAGUUUUUCCCAAGCUAGUGAUUUCGCUAGGAUUCCGUGAUUUCUUGUGGCUUCUCAAAAUCAGCCUCCUGCCGAAGCCGCAAUUCUUCGGUCGCCGUGAGGAGCGGCUUGAGAAUAUUGUAAAAACAUUGGAGAUGGCGUCUGGUGUUGGGCAGUAACCGAAUAGUCUGCCGCCCUUCUGAAGGUACUGGAGCAUCGGCCAGUGGUUUCAACGUUUUAUACGCCAACACAUGUACCGCCUUUGCAUAAAUUCGAAGGAAAUGCUUCGACGUCCGGAAGUCGACGUUUGCGUCGGUAACAUCGUCCACUAGUGCUGCUAUUAACAAAGGUCGCAAAUAUUAGCGCAGAUGUUAAUAAGUUGUUUAAUCUGUGAAAACAACACGCAGAGAUAAUGCACUCUAUAGUGUUUAUACAAAAUUGUUCUAACGGUAAGAAGGAAAAUUUGCACGCAAAUACAUAUAAUAAUGCAUAUCUAUAAUAUUUGGAAAUAUAUAUAAACGAUUUUUUUCGUUGCUUUUAUUUUUUUAACGAUUUGGUGUCGUUGCUAAUUUUUUUUCGUUGCUAGUUUUAUGAGAAUACUUUGUUUCAGAAUUCAGAGUAAACACUGCGUGGCGUGUAGCGCCUAAAAUGCAUGGCUUCUCUAGCAUAAACUUGUUAGUCAAAG